rnacentral:rRNA from 1 species
UCAAGUGAAUAAGUGCAUCAGGCGGAUGCCUUGGCGAUGAUAGGCGACGAAGGACGUGUAAGCCUGCGAAAAGCGCGGGGGAGCUGGCAAUAAAGCUAUGAUUCCGCGAUGUCCGAAUGGGGAAACCCACUGCAUUCUGUGCAGUAUCCUAAGUUGAAUACAUAGGCUUAGAGAAGCGAACCCGGAGAACUGAACCAUCUAAGUACCCGGAGGAAAAGAAAUCAACCGAGAUUCCGCAAGUAGUGGCGAGCGAACGCGGAGGAGCCUGUACGUAAUAACUGUCGAGAUAGAAGAACAAGCUGGGAAGCUUGACCAUAGCGGGUGACAGUCCCGUAUUCGAAAUCUCAACAGCGGUACUAAGCGUACGAAAAGUAGGGCGGGACACGUGAAAUCCUGUCUGAAUAUGGGGGGACCAUCCUCCAAGGCUAAAUACUCAUCAUCGACCGAUAGUGAACCAGUACCGUGAGGGAAAGGCGAAAAGAACCCCGGGAGGGGAGUGAAACAGAACCUGAAACCUGAUGCAUACAAACAGUGGGAGCGCCCUAGUGGUGUGACUGCGUACCUUUUGUAUAAUGGGUCAACGACUUACAUUCAGUAGCGAGCUUAACCGGAUAGGGGAGGCGUAGGGAAACCGAGUCUUAAUAGGGCGAUGAGUUGCUGGGUGUAGACCCGAAACCGAGUGAUCUAUCCAUGGCCAGGUUGAAGGUGCCGUAACAGGUACUGGAGGACCGAACCCACGCAUGUUGCAAAAUGCGGGGAUGAGCUGUGGGUAGGGGUGAAAGGCUAAACAAACUCGGAGAUAGCUGGUUCUCCCCGAAAACUAUUUAGGUAGUGCCUCGAGCAAGACACUGAUGGGGGUAAAGCACUGUUAUGGCUAGGGGGUUAUUGCAACUUACCAACCCAUGGCAAACUCAGAAUACCAUCAAGUGGUUCCUCGGGAGACAGACAGCGGGUGCUAACGUCCGUUGUCAAGAGGGAAACAACCCAGACCGCCGGCUAAGGUCCCAAAUGAUAGAUUAAGUGGUAAACGAAGUGGGAAGGCACAGACAGCCAGGAUGUUGGCUUAGAAGCAGCCAUCAUUUAAAGAAAGCGUAAUAGCUCACUGGUCGAGUCGUCCUGCGCGGAAGAUGUAACGGGGCUCAAAUCUAUAACCGAAGCUGCGGAUGCCGGUUUACCGGCAUGGUAGGGGAGCGUUCUGUAGGCUGAUGAAGGUGCAUUGUAAAGUGUGCUGGAGGUAUCAGAAGUGCGAAUGUUGACAUGAGUAGCGAUAAAGCGGGUGAAAAGCCCGCUCGCCGAAAGCCCAAGGUUUCCUACGCAACGUUCAUCGGCGUAGGGUAAGUCGGCCCCUAAGGCGAGGCAGAAAUGCGUAGUCGAUGGGAAACAGGUUAAUAUUCCUGUACUUGAUUCAAAUGCGAUGUGGGGACGGAGAAGGUUAGGUUGGCAAGCUGUUGGAAUAGCUUGUUUAAGCCGGUAGGUGGAAGACUUAGGCAAAUCCGGGUUUUCUUAACACCGAGAAGUGAUGACGAGUGUCUACGGACACGAAGCAACCGAUACCACGCUUCCAGGAAAAGCCACUAAGCUUCAGUUUGAAUCGAACCGUACCGCAAACCGACACAGGUGGGCAGGAUGAGAAUUCUAAGGCGCUUGAGAGAACUCGGGAGAAGGAACUCGGCAAAUUGAUACCGUAACUUCGGGAGAAGGUAUGCCCUCUAAGGUUAAGGACUUGCUCCGUAAGCCCCGGAGGGUCGCAGAGAAUAGGUGGCUGCGACUGUUUAUUAAAAACACAGCACUCUGCCAACACGAAAGUGGACGUAUAGGGUGUGACGCCUGCCCGGUGCCGGAAGGUUAAUUGAAGAUGUGCAAGCAUCGGAUCGAAGCCCCGGUAAACGGCGGCCGUAACUAUAACGGUCCUAAGGUAGCGAAAUUCCUUGUCGGGUAAGUUCCGACCCGCACGAAUGGCGUAACGAUGGCCACACUGUCUCCUCCCGAGACUCAGCGAAGUUGAAGUGGUUGUGAAGAUGCAAUCUACCCGCUGCUAGACGGAAAGACCCCGUGAACCUUUACUGUAGCUUUGCAUUGGACUUUGAAGUCACUUGUGUAGGAUAGGUGGGAGGCUUGGAAGCAGAGACGCCAGUCUCUGUGGAGUCGUCCUUGAAAUACCACCCUGGUGUCUUUGAGGUUCUAACCCAGACCCGUCAUCCGGGUCGGGGACCGUGCAUGGUAGGCAGUUUGACUGGGGCGGUCUCCUCCCAAAGCGUAACGGAGGAGUUCGAAGGUUACCUAGGUCCGGUCGGAAAUCGGACUGAUAGUGCAAUGGCAAAAGGUAGCUUAACUGCGAGACCGACAAGUCGGGCAGGUGCGAAAGCAGGACAUAGUGAUCCGGUGGUUCUGUAUGGAAGGGCCAUCGCUCAACGGAUAAAAGGUACUCCGGGGAUAACAGGCUGAUUCCGCCCAAGAGUUCAUAUCGACGGCGGAGUUUGGCACCUCGAUGUCGGCUCAUCACAUCCUGGGGCUGUAGUCGGUCCCAAGGGUAUGGCUGUUCGCCAUUUAAAGUGGUACGUGAGCUGGGUUUAAAACGUCGUGAGACAGUUUGGUCCCUAUCUGCAGUGGGCGUUGGAAGUUUGACGGGGGCUGCUCCUAGUACGAGAGGACCGGAGUGGACGAACCUCUGGUGUACCGGUUGUAACGCCAGUUGCAUAGCCGGGUAGCUAAGUUCGGAAGAGAUAAGCGCUGAAAGCAUCUAAGCGCGAAACUCGCCUGAAGAUGAGACUUCCCUUGCGGUUUAACCGCACUAAAGGGUCGUUCGAGACCAGGACGUUGAUAGGUGGGGUGUGGAAGCGCGGUAACGCGUGAAGCUAACCCAUACUAAUUGCCCGUGAGGCUUGACU